AGCAUAAAUGUGCAGGUAAGUUAGAGGUAGAUUGACUACGGUUUCAAAAUGUUAAAGACUAGAUCAUAGUUCAACAUCUGUCAUUCUCUGCACUGCACUGCUGCAUACAUCAUUUCUAAUGUGGAGGCCAAGUGGUCUGGAUCUGUUCAUGACUAGAGGAUUUAUCAUGAGUCUAACCUGAGCAACAGACUGCAACGUGGAGAGUUUGAUGGCCUUCUGCUGGGUGACAGGGGUUACCAUGCCAACCCAGGCUGAUGACCUCAUACCCUGACCCUGAACCAGGCCCCCAACAGAACUUCAACCGGGCUCAUUGCAGGAUGAGAGCCCGGGUGGAAAUGAUCAUAGACCUGCUGAAAGCCUGUUUCCAGUGUCUACAUCACCUCAGGGUGACUCCUGAGAGGCCUGUGAUAUUAUUGUGGCAUGUGUUGUUCUUCAUAAUAUUGCCACUAUUAGAGGAGAGCAACACUCUGCCCUACAAACUGAAGACCCAGAUGAUGACCUCAUCCACCUGCCAGCUAUCAGGACAGCAGAGCAGUCAGAGACACCAUAUGCAAUAAUCACUGCAGAGAUUAAGUCUCCAUCAUCACCACCACAGCAGUGAAAUAAACACGACACACAUUUCAUUUGGUCUUCUUUAUUUCCUACAAAUAAAAGAGCUAGUUUAGUUCAUGUUCCAGUAGUUAACAUAAUUCACCUGUGACCUGCAUCCACCUCUAACUUGUGCUCCAGUAUUUCAAUUUCCAGAUCUGCCUUCUUAAUCUGGUG
ensembl:lncRNA